rnacentral:rRNA from 1 species
CCAAUAGCGUAUAUUAAAGUUGUUGCAGUUAAAAAGCUCGUAGUUGAAUUUCGGGACCAAUAUGUCGGUCGUGCUUCGGUACGUACUUGCAUUAUUGGUUUCUCCCUUCUGAAGAACCAUGAUGUCAUUAAUUUGGUGUCUUGGGGAAUCAGGACUGUUACUUUGAAAAAAUUAGAGUGUUUAAAGCAGGCUCACGCUUGAAUACAUUAGCAUGGAAUAAUGAAAUAGGACGUUUGAUUCUAUUUUGUUGGUUUCUAGGAUCGACGUAAUGAUUAAUAGGGAUAGUUGGGGGCAUUAGUAUUCAAUUGUCAGAGGUGAAAUUCUUGGAUUUAUUGAAGACUAACUACUGCGAAAGCAUUUGCCAAGGAUGUUUUCAUUAAUCAAGAACGAAAGUUAGGGGAUCGAAGACGAUCAGAUACCGUCGUAGUCUUAACCAUAAACUAUGCCGACUAGGGAUCGGAUGAUGUUAUUUUUGAUGACCCAUUCGGCGCCUUACG